rnacentral:rRNA from 1 species
AGAGUUUGAUCCUGGCUCAGGACGAACGCUGGCGGCGUGCCUAAUACAUGCAAGUAGAACGCUGAAGAGAGGAGCUUGCUCUUCUUGGAUGAGUUGCGAACGGGUGAGUAACGCGUAGGUAACCUGCCUUGUAGCGGGGGAUAACUAUUGGAAACGAUAGCUAAUACCGCAUAACAAUGGGUGACUCAUGUCAUUUAUUUGAAAGGGGCAAAUGCUCCACUACAAGAUGGACCUGCGUUGUAUUAGCUAGUAGGUGAGGUAACGGCUCACCUAGGCGACGAUACAUAGCCGACCUGAGAGGGUGAUCGGCCACACUGGGACUGAGACACGGCCCAGACUCCUACGGGAGGCAGCAGUAGGGAAUCUUCGGCAAUGGGGGCAACCCUGACCGAGCAACGCCGCGUGAGUGAAGAAGGUUUUCGGAUCGUAAAGCUCUGUUGUAAGUCAAGAACGAGUGUGAGAGUGGAAAGUUCACACUGUGACGGUAGCUUACCAGAAAGGGACGGCUAACUACGUGCCAGCAGCCGCGGUAAUACGUAGGUCCCGAGCGUUGUCCGGAUUUAUUGGGCGUAAAGCGAGCGCAGGCGGUUUGAUAAGUCUGAAGUUAAAGGCUGUGGCUCAACCAUAGUUCGCUUUGGAAACUGUCAAACUUGAGUGCAGAAGGGGAGAGUGGAAUUCCAUGUGUAGCGGUGAAAUGCGUAGAUAUAUGGAGGAACACCGGUGGCGAAAGCGGCUCUCUGGUCUGUAACUGACGCUGAGGCUCGAAAGCGUGGGGAGCGAACAGGAUUAGAUACCCUGGUAGUCCACGCCGUAAACGAUGAGUGCUAGGUGUUGGCCAGAGAUGGUCGGUGCCGCAGCAAACGCAAUAAGCACUCCACCUGGGGAGUACGACCGCAAGGUUGAAACUCAAAGGAAUUGACGGGGGCCC